rnacentral:rRNA from 1 species
GAUGAACGCUGGCGGCGUGCCUAAUACAUGCAAGUCGAGCGAACAGACGAGGAGCUUGCUCCUUUGACGUUAGCGGCGGACGGGUGAGUAACACGUAGGUAACCUACCUAUAAGACUGGGAUAACUUCGGGAAACCGGAGCUAAUACCGGAUAAUAUUUCGAACCGCAUGGUUCAAUAGUGAAAGAUGGCUUUGCUAUCACUUAUAGAUGGACCUGCGCCGUAUUAGCUAGUUGGUAAGGUAACGGCUUACCAAGGCAACGAUACGUAGCCGACCUGAGAGGGUGAUCGGCCACACUGGAACUGAGACACGGUCCAGACUCCUACGGGAGGCAGCAGUAGGGAAUCUUCCGCAAUGGGCGAAAGCCUGACGGAGCAACGCCGCGUGAGUGAUGAAGGUCUUCGGAUCGUAAAACUCUGUUAUUAGGGAAGAACAAACGUGUAAGUAACUGUGCACGUCCUGACGGUACCUAAUCAGAAAGCCACGGCUAACUACGUG